rnacentral:tRNA from 1 species
GCCUCGUUAGCUCAGAGGUUAGAGCACUGGUCUCGUAAACCAGGGGUCGAGAGUUCAAAUCUUUCACGAGGCU